rnacentral:misc_RNA from 1 species
GACAAAAUGAGGCCAGAAGAUAGAGUGGCUAUUCAUGAAGCAAUGGAACAGCAAACGAUUUCCAUUGCGAAGGCUGGAAUUACAACAGUCCUUAAUUCAAGAACAGCGGUGCUUGCUGCUGCUAAUCCUCCAUCUGGACGCUAUGAUGAUCUCAAGACUGCACAAGAUAACAUUGACUUGCAGACAACAAUUCUUUCAAGAUUCGAUUUGAUUUUCAUUGUGAAAGACAUCAGGAAGUACGAUCAGG